rnacentral:rRNA from 1 species
UGGGGAAUCUUGCACAAUGGGGGCAACCCUGAUGCAGCGACGCCGCGUGAGCGAUGAAGCCCUUCGGGGCGUAAAGCUCUUUCGACCGGAACGAUAAUGACGGUACCGGGAGAAGAAGCUGCGGCUAACUACGUGCCAGCAGCCGCGGUAAUACGGAGGGGGCUAGCGUUGUUCGGAAUUACUGGGCGUAAAGCGUACGUAGGCGGAUGCGCAAGUUGGGGGUGAAAUCCCGGGGCUUAACCUCGGAAUUGCCCUCAAAACUGCACGCCUUGAGACCGAGAGAGGUAAGGGGAAUUCCUAGUGUAGAGGUGAAAUUCGUAGAUAUUCGCAAGAACACCAGUGGCGAAGGCGGCUCUCUGACCCGAUACUGACGCUGAGGCACGAAAGCGUGGGGAGCAAACA